CGCCCGUCUGCUCUGGCCGGGCCGGCGACUCCCGCCCGGGCCUGUGCGGGAGCGAGCCCGCGCCCGGCUGUGCCACGCAGCUGGCCCGAGCCGCCUGGUGACUGCCCAAAGCGCGAAUCCGGGAGCCUGGCCCCGUCGGCUCCGCUAGCGGCCGGCGUUGGGGGCUCCGGGCUCUGCACAGCGUGUCUCCGCAAAAGGGGCUGUCUGUGCUUCAGGGACGUGAGUUGGGGGGUUGCCCACCCCCCGUUCAGUUGUGCACACGCCAGCCUGGCGAUCCGCCCUGCUUGCCGGGCGCCAAACACCCAGGUGGUGAUGGUCAGAGUCCCAAGUGCCAUAGAGGUUGGGGCCUGCCCAGCUGAACGGAAGACGGUGGCCGCUGACUGGCUGGUAUGGCUUUCUGGCUAAGGUGCUGGAUCAGGCCUCAGGCGAUCUGAGGUCAGGUGUUGGCUGUGUUUCCAAACUUCCUGUUUGACAAGUCCUUUCUUUCACUCUUGGGAGCUGCGUUGAUUCCCCUCCUGGAAAAUUGGAGUAUUAAUGCUUUCUGCUCUACAGAAAUGUUAGGAGAUACUUUAUGUCCUACGGUGAGUAGGGUAUUUAAGUAUCUGGACUGAGAGAUGAGAAUAAUUAGCUUAGCUCAUGUUGAUUUUAAAACUGCCCUCUGUUACUAGGACCUGUCAGACAAUGUAAGUACCACACUUUUUGUUGUUUUUGUUAAAAGAAAAGGAGUACUUGUGGCACCUUAGAGACUAACAAAUUUAUUUGAGCAUAAGCUUUUGUGAGCUACAGCUCACUUCAUCAGAUGUUGUUGUUGUCACUUGUAAAUGAGCAUUGCUUGGAUUCAAUGCUUUUGGAUGCCUAAAUAACCAUGACAUCACAAAGUAGUCAUUGCAGCUGGCCAGGAGAUUGUGCCCUAUCGCUUCAGGCACAGACCUAAUUGUAGCUGUCUAAACACUUUAAGCUUGUAUAUUGCAACUCAUUUCUAGGGAUAAAUACUCAGGAUGGAAAUAGUACAAAAUCAGCAGCCCAUUGUUUGCCAAACAUAGGUCAUUAUGAACAUGUAGCCUUGCUGCUCCGCUCUGCUCGGAUUCCCCAUUGAAGAGAGUCCUGCUGAAGGUGUGACUUCUCAUAUUCAAAGGCCUUCGUUGGGUUGGCCCUAAUUACCUAAAAGCCUCUUGCAAGAUAGCUGUGUUCCACUGAAACUGUGAAAUAGUUUACUAUUUAAGGGAAGCUUAUGAACACAUAAGACAACUCUAUUAAACUAUGGAACUCCUCAUGCUUUCAAAA